rnacentral:rRNA from 1 species
GACGAACGCUGGCGGCGCGCCUAACACAUGCAAGUCGAACGGAGCUGAGAGGAGCUUGCUUUUCUCAGCUUAGUGGCGAACGGGUGAGUAACGCGUGAGUAACCUGCCCUGGAGUGGGGGACAACAGUUGGAAACGACUGCUAAUACCGCAUAAGCCCACGGAUCCGCAUGGAUCUGCGGGAAAAGGAUUUAUUCGCUUCAGGAUGGACUCGCGUCCAUUUAGCUAGUUGGUGAGGUAACGGCCCACCAAGGCGACGAUUGGUAGCCGGACUGAGAGGUUGAACGGCCACAUUGGGACUGAGACACGGCCCAGACUCCUACGGGAGGCAGCAGUGGGGGAUAUUGCACAAUGGGGGAAACCCUGAUGCAGCGACGCCGCGUGGAGGAAGAAGGUUUUCGGAUUGUAAACUCCUGUCGUUAGGGACGAUAAUGACGGUACCUAACAAGAAAGCACCGGCUAACUACGUGCCAGCAGCCGCGGUAAU